CCUGAAAACACUACAAAAGUUUUAUUGCUUAAAAAGUACAGCUUUUCACUAACUCGCUCUCUUUAAAGGGAGGAGGGCUUGUGUACACUAUGAUGAAAGGUGCCAGCCACUGUGAACUUGUGGAGGCUACUGAGACUGUACUUCAGAGGCUCAUUGCUGUUUCCUAAGGAACGAGAGAAGAUGGAGAUGCAGAAUGGCUCCAGGUGAAAAUUAAAUUGCAGGACUGGCCACUGACAAUGCUGAAGAAGAUAGCAUAGGUCCUAUAUUAUUUUUCCACGGGGAUGGCCAAAAAUGUGUAAGAAGUGAUCGCAUAUCAGGGAGAGGGAUUGUUGUUUGUCUGUUCUCAGAUUCCAGAGAGAUCAUCCCAAUGGCUGUUGAAUCCAACUGUGGAGAGGGUGAUCACUUUCUACAAUGCACUGUCACUUAGACCAACUCUUCAGUUUCUAAAUGAGGAUAUCCACUGCA
ensembl:lncRNA